rnacentral:rRNA from 1 species
CCUACGGGAGGCAGCAGUGAGGAAUAUUGGUCAAUGGCCGGGAGGCUGAACCAGCCAAGUCGCGUGAGGGAAGACGGCCCUACGGGUUGUAAACCUCUUUUGUCAGGGAGCAAGGUGCAGGUCGGGACCUGCUGUGAGAGUACCUGAAGAAAAAGCAUCGGCUAACUCCGUGCCAGCAGCCGCGGUAAUACGGAGGAUGCGAGCGUUAUCCGGAUUUAUUGGGUUUAAAGGGUGCGCAGGCGGAGGCACAAGUCAGCGGUAAAAUUGCGGGGCUCAACCCCGAACCGCCGUUGAAACUGUGUCCCUUGAGUGCGCGAAGGGUAGGCGGAAUGCGUGGUGUAGCGGUGAAAUGCGUAGAUAUUAGGAGGAACACCAGUGGCGAAGGCGGCUUGCUGGGCUUUUACUGACGCUGAGGCUCGAAAGCGUGGGGAGCAAACAGGAUUAGAUACCCGAGUAGUC